AAUUCAGUUGGUAGAGCAUGGCGCUUGCAACGCCAGGGUUGUGGGUUCGAUUCCCAC
rnacentral:tRNA from 1 species